UACGUAGGGGGCAAGCGUUGUCCGGAUUUAUUGGGCGUAAAGAGCGUGUAGGCGGCCUUACAGGUCAGCUGUGAAAACUCGAGGCUCAACCUCGAGACGUCGGUUGAAACCGUAUGGCUAGAGUCCGGAAGAGGAGAGUGGAAUUCCCGGUGUAGCGGUGAAAUGCGCAGAUAUCGGGAAGAACACCCGUGGCGAAGGCGGCUCUCUGGGACGGUACUGACGCGUGAGACGGCGGAAAAGCGUGGGGAGCGAACAGG
rnacentral:rRNA from 1 species